GUCUACGGCCAUGCUACCCUGAAUAAGCCCGAUCCCAUUUGAUCUUGGAAGCAAAGCAGGGUAGGGCCUGGUUAGUACUUGGAUGGGAGACCACCCAGGAAUACCAGAUGCUGUAGGCA
rnacentral:rRNA from 1 species